ensembl:lncRNA PWRN1 Prader-Willi region non-protein coding RNA 1
AGAACAGGCAGAGGCAGUUCAGGGGGUAUUCUGGUUGCCUUACCCAGCUCUGAAGUCUGUCAGCCUCUUCAGAUGUCACUUGCCCUGUGGUAAGGAAGUGUAGUUGGCAGCUGGUGCAGUGGCAAGAAGAGAAAGGAGGUUCCCCAAGACAGAAAUAUCUCAGCAGACCGUGAUCAUGGGCUACAUUCUCCAUACCAGCUUCAUAGCUCCAGUGAGAAAAUAAAUUCCUGCACCCAGGAGACGUGGAGUAAGAGAUACAGCUGACCUUGACCACAUUUCUUACUUCCAAGAAGAUUGUAGCAAUAAUUCAGGAUUUCAUCCAGGAUACCUCAUCACAGCCUGGAGUGCAGUGUCAUGAGCUUGGCUCACUACAGCCUCCAUCUUCUGAGCUUAAGGAUCCUUCCCUCUCAACCUCCAGGGUAGCUGAGACUACAGGCAACAUUUGAAACCCAGGAGCCACUGCUUCAGGAAGGUACCUUCAAGCUCCAAGGACUCUUAUCCUCUUUCUCCUUCCCCACUACCUAGUCAUUAGAGUGUCAGCAUCCACUUCUUGAAAGGAAGAUGCCUGUUUUUCACAUAUCCCAGAAAGCCCCAUUUUAGGACAGCAUUUAGCAGAGUAUAUUCAAGAUCCCACUAACCUUUUCGGAAGACAUGAAUUCCAGAUGAUAUAAGGCUCCAUCAGGAACUGUUCAGGACCAUGCACUCUGUUGAUACUCACAUGGUGGAAUUAUAUUGCCCUUGGCCAACCCUAAAGCCAUCAAGAUAGCAGGGUCUCACUCUGUUGCUCAGGCCGGAGUGCAGUGGCAUGAACAAAGCUCGCUGCAGCCUCGAACUCCUGGGCUUGAAUGAUCCUCCACCUCAUCCUCUUGAGUAGAUGGGACUACAGGCAUGUGCCACCACAUCUGGGUUUCGAAUAAUUCAUCAGUGAAGUCUUCUCAACCAGGUCAAUCACGAGAACUUAGAAGAUGAUUCCUCCCCAGCUGAUCCUCAGGUGAGACCUCAGCCUUGGCCAUCAUCUACAUCUGGAUUCCUGACUCAGAGAAACUGGAACACUAAAGCCCAUUCUUCCUCUCAAGUAACCAGAAAUAAAGUUGAUCCAAGUAACAAGUGGACAGCAUAAAAGAUUGUAUGGAAACUAUAAUGCAUCUACAUCUGCAGUAACUAAUCAUAAAAUGAUUUGUAUGAUCAUUCUUCACAUGAUUAUGAUGACUAUGGGAAAGAAGAAAAAGAAAUGCAACUUUCUUGAUUUAAAAAUUGUAUCUAAGGGGCAUGAAGCACCUUUCUGGGGCAAUGGUAAGAUUUUUUGAAUCUUGACAGCAGUGAUGUUUAUAUUCCUGUAUUCAUUGUCCAAAUGAAUAAAAUAGUUCAUGUAAAA